GAAUCAGUAGUCCAUGAAGUACAAAUGGUAGAUUCAUCCUGUCCCUUCAAAUAUAUCCAUCUAAAUUGGAAGUGUCUUGUCCAUCAACGAGUGUCUGAAAGGGUGUGAGUGCAUCUCUGAACUUGUUAAUCAACAAAUAUCUGAAAGGCUGCAAGCCUGACCAUUCUGAAACCACAUGCACGAGUGUAUCAAAAUGAGAUGCACAUGUAACAGCAGCUAAUUUAAAGCUUCUAUUGGCAGCAUUCUUUAUUUGAAGCUUCUUGACAUAAUCAUUGGUGUUCAGAUGUUGGAAGAGGUGUGCACACUAAAAGUGGUGUCACGUUAUAACAAACCUAAGAAGGUGCACACAAAUAAGGUUGUCUCACAAGGUAAUAAGUGCAUACAUCAACCUUAUUUGGGCUGAAGAGCA